UGGGGAAUUUUGCACAAUGGGGGAAACCCUGAUGCAGCUACGCCGCGUGAUUUAGAAGGCCUUCGGGUUGUAAAAAUCUUUUGUAUGGGAAGAAAAUGACAGUACCAUACGAAUAAGGACCGGCUAAUUACGUGCCAGCAGCCGCGGUAAUACGUAAGGUCCGAGCGUUGUCCGGAAUCAUUGGGCGUAAAGGGUACGUAGGCGGAUAAGCAAGUUAGAAGUGAAAUCCUAUAGCUCAACUAUAGUAAGCUUUUAAAACUGCUCAUCUUGAGGUAUGGAAGGGAAAGUGGAAUUCCUAGUGUAGCGGUGAAAUGCGCAGAUAUUAGGAGGAAUACCGGUGGCGAAGGCGACUUUCUGGCCAUAUACUGACGCUGAGGUACGAAAGCGGGGGUAGCAAACAGG
rnacentral:rRNA from 1 species